CACACUCUUACACACACACACACACUCUACCACUCCCUGAAGUGUCUCCUCCUCCUCUCUCCUCUCUCCUCCUCCUCUGUCCUCUCUGCACAUCCUCUCAGCCGAAGCCGCAGCAUCACUUCUCCGUUCUCAGUUUGUCCUGUUGAUUACAAGCAAAGCACCAAAGUGGAGAAAAAGCGUUAAGUUCUAUCAGAAGCACAACUUGCCAUCGAUUGGAGCGAGAGGGAAUUCCGGCGGCAUACGCCGUUGAGUUAAAGGUUA